CAGUCGCCGCGGGAAUACAGAGGGUGCAAGCGUUAAUCGGAAUUACUGGGCGUAAAGCGCGCGUAGGUGGUUUGUUAAGUUGGAUGUGAAAUCCCCGGGCUCAACCUGGGAACUGCAUUCAAAACUGACUGACUAGAGUAUGGUAGAGGGUGGUGGAAUUUCCUGUGUAGCGGUGAAAUGCGUAGAUAUAGGAAGGAACACCAGUGGCGAAGGCGACCACCUGGACUAAUACUGACACUGAGGUGCGAAAGCGUGGGGAGCAAACAGGAUUAGAUACCCCCGUAGUCCCUGUCUCUUAUAC
rnacentral:rRNA from 1 species